ensembl:lncRNA
GUGCUUGCUGAAAGCUGUGGCAGCUUGACAGGACCCCCUUCCCGAUGGCCAGAAAGGAAAUGGUGGGCCCAGGCUCCUUUGCCGUGAGAGCCUUGGGCAGCCAGACGGGGCAGGGCCACGGGCCGGCUCCACUGACUGGGGGCACCAUCUGCGUCCACCCGCCAGAGGAUCCUGCCUGCGUGGGGCCUUGCGACAGCCUCGUGCCAGAAAGCCCUGGAACAUCUCUGGAAGGAGCCACAGUAAAUCAGCAGCAGCGGCUGUUGUCUCCAGGGAGGGAAAGAAGGGUGCAGAGAAGGAAGGAAGGCUUUUGUGAAUGUGGAGCUGUGUGCCUAUAAAAGCCAUUGAAGAACAUUGGUGAGAUGAGCAUAGCAUUCCUGGGAUGCAGAAGUAAUCACGGUGGAUCACACUGCGACUCAAACAUACUUUCUGCUGGGCCCACCAGCCAAAGUGCUGUCUGCUGAAGCUUCACACUGAUCCUGUAAAAGGAGAAUUUUACAUCCAACGGGACAGUCAUGAUUUUUCACUACUAACGGCUAUCUUUGUGAUUUAAAAC